GCGCAGACGAGCGCCAGCAGCCGCCACACCAUCGGGGAACGGAGCGGUCCGCGGCGGGGGAGAAGAGACGGGAAACCGCGGCGGGGCUCCGGCCUCACGCUUAUGAGGAGCGCUUCAUUCACGGACGGCCUGCUCGUUUCAUUGCAGGUGCAGCCAACAAAGUGUGAGUCCUGAAGACAUGAAGGUUGCAGACUCACUGGGUGGGUGGUGAGAGACCUGUUCAGCCACAAAGCACACACUGUUGGUGGAAGCCCACGGAACUGGACCGUCCGAUACGGUCUCCUGAAGGAGAAAAAACAUUUUCCAGCAUUUUACCAUCAAAAGUUCUGCACAUGUGCCUCAGAAAGGCCUCGGCUCCUCACCACGUGUUGAGCGGGCUCUUCUGCCUCACUGGGCAGAUCCCAGUGGCAGUAGAAGACUUCCCCCAGAAUGGGGUUGUAAGGUUUCUUGGCCACCGAGCCUUUCCGGCCGGCGUGGAACGCCGACAGGUACCAUUUGACCACCUGGACCAUCCGCUCCCUCGGCUCCGGCUGCUCAGCGAUACUUGAGAGGAAUCAAAUGGAAGAACGUUAGCCGGUUGUUCACCUGGAGGAGGGAGGGGCUUAAACAAAUGCCAUACGUACCUUACAAAUAAGUCUGGGUGUGCAAAGAAGUCUGCGUACAUUUCUAAGAGAGAUCUCCUCUCGAGGAUGAAGGUCGGCAGUACCACCUGAGAAGCAAAAGAGUCCGAACGGAUCAGAAGACUCGCCCUCGCCGUCGUCAUCGCGGUCGUCAUGGCUGUCAAACUGAUCUGAGAGGAGAGAAGACCAUUACUGUUCAACAGUUCCUCGUCUCAAAGUCCCACUCUGAUCAUCUUUAGAUGCAAAAGCGUUCCCAGAGAUCU